AGAGUUUGAUCCUGGCUCAGGAUGAACGCUAGCGGCAGGCUUAACACAUGCAAGUCGAGGGGCAGCGCGGGAUAGCAAUAUCCUGGCGGCGACCGGCGGAAGGGUGCGUAACGCGUGAGCGACAUGCCCGUUGCCCGGGGACAACCGGUGGAAACGCCGACUAAUCCCCGAUGGGAUACGAUGCCUCAUGGCAUUGUAUUGAAAGUUACGGCGGCGACGGAUUGGCUCGCGUCCGAUUAGCUUGUUGGCGGGGUAACGGCCCACCAAGGCUGCGAUCGGUAGGGGUUCUGAGAGGAAGGCCCCCCACAAUGGGACUGAGACACGGCCCAUACUCCUACGGGAGGCAGCAGUGAGGAAUAUUGGUCAAUGGGCGGAAGCCUGAACCAGCCAUGCCGCGUGCGGGAAGGAGGCCCUAUGGGCUGUGAACCGCUUUUGCCUGGGGGCAAUAAGGGCGUCGCGCACGUCCGAUGAGAGUACCAGGCGAAUAAGCAUCGGCUAACUCCGUGCCAGCAGCCGCGGUAAUACGGGGGAUGCGAGCGUUAUCCGGAUUCAUUGGGUUUAAAGGGUGCGUAGGCUGUGCGUCAAGUCGGGGGUGAAAUUCCGGUGCUCAACACCGGGGCUGCCCUUGAUACUGUCGCGCUGGAGUGCGGAUGCCGCCGGAGGAAUGAGUGGUGUAGCGGUGAAAUGCUUAGAUAUCACUCAGAACACCGAUUGCGAAGGCAUCUGGCGAAUCCGUAACUGACGCUGAGGCACGAAAGCGUGGGGAUAGAACAGGAUUAGAUACCCUGGUAUUCCACGCCGUAAACGAUGAUGGCUAACCGCCGGCGACACACUGUCGGUGGCCAAGCGAAAGCGAUAAGCCAUCCACCUGGGGAGUACGUCGGCAACGAUGAAACUCAAAGGAAUUGACGGGGGCCCGCACAAGCGGAGGAACAUGUGGUUUAAUUCGAUGAUACGCGAGGAACCUUACCCGGGCUCAAACGCAGGGGGAAUGUCGGUGAAAGCCGGCAGCUAGUAAUAGUCACCUGCGAGGUGCUGCAUGGUUGUCGUCAGCUCGUGCCGUGAGGUGUCGGCUUAAGUGCCAUAACGAGCGCAACCCCUAUCGACAGUUACUAACGGGUGAAGCCGAGGACUCUGUCGAGACUGCCGGCGCAAGCCGCGAGGAAGGUGGGGAUGACGUCAAAUCAGCACGGCCCUUACGUCCGGGGCGACACACGUGUUACAAUGGCAGGUACAGAAGGCAGCCAGUCAGCAAUGACGCGCGAAUCCCGAAAACCUGUCUCAGUUCGGAUUGGAGUCUGCAACCCGACUCCAUGAAGCUGGAUUCGCUAGUAAUCGCGCAUCAGCCAUGGCGCGGUGAAUACGUUCCCGGGCCUUGUACACACCGCCCGUCAAGCCAUGGAAGCCGGGAGUACCUGAAGAUCGUGACCGCGAGGAACGGGCUAGGGUAAUACCGGUAACUGGGGCUAAGUCGUAACAAGGUAGCCGUACCGGAAGGUGCGGCUG
rnacentral:rRNA from 1 species